GGAAGGGUACAGCUCAGUGGUAGAGCACAUGCUUAGCAUGCAUGAGGUCCUGGGUUCAAUCCCCAGUAUCUCCA
rnacentral:tRNA from 1 species